UAAACUAGGAUUAGAUACCCUAUUAUUUUAGAAUGUUAAAUGCCUGAGUAGUAUUAGUUAUGUUCUUGAAACUUAAAGAAUUUGGCGGUAUCUCAUUCCGUCCAGAGGAAUCUGUCCCGUUAUCGAUAGUCCGCGUUGGACCUUACUUAGGUUUGUAUACCGCCGUUUAUUGUUUAUCUUUUUAGAGGUAUGUUAAUUUUCUGGUUUCUUUAUUUCGAUAUAUUUCAGGUCAAGGUGCAGCUUGUUUUUAAGUGGAAUGAUGGAUUACAUUUUUAUUUGUUUGUGGAUUAUUGGUUUUAAUAUUAAUAUGAAAUUGGAUUUGGUUGUAAUAAUUUGUAGAUUGUUAUUAUGAUAAUUGGUUCUGGGAUAUGCACACAUCGCCCGUCGCUCUCGUAUGGUGAGAUAAGUCGUAACAUAGUA
rnacentral:rRNA from 1 species